GACGAACGCUGGCGGCGUGCCUAAUACAUGCAAGUAGGACGCAGUUGCGAACGGGUGAGUAACGCGUAGGUAACUACCUAUUAGAGGGGGAUAACUAUUGGAAACGAUAGCUAAUACCGCAUACUAGUAGAUGGACCUGCGUUGUAUUAGCUAGUAGGUAGGGUAAUGGCCUAACUAGGCAACGAUACAUAGCCGACUCGGUGUGGGGAGCGGGCCACAUGGGGCCGAGACACGGCCCAGACUCCUACGGGAGGCAGCCGUAGGGCAUCUUCGGCCAAGGGGGGAACCCUUACCGAGGAAAGCCGCGUGGGUGGAUAAGGGUUUCGGAUCGUAAAGCUCUGUUGUUAAGGAAGCGGUACUUAACCAGAAAGGGACGGCUAACUACGUGCCAGCAGCCGCGGUAAUUC
rnacentral:rRNA from 1 species